GAUGAACGCUGGCGGCGUGCCUAAUACAUGCAAGUCGAGCGAACGGACGAGAAGCUUGCUUCUCUGAUGUUAGCGGCGGACGGGUGAGUAACACGUGGAUAACCUACCUAUAAGACUGGGAUAACUUCGGGAAACCGUAGCUAAUACCGGAUAAUAUUUUGAACCGCAUGGUUCAAAAGUGAAAGACGGUCUUGCUGUCACUUAUAGAUUGAUCCGCGCUGCAUUAGCUAGUUGGUAAGGUAACGGCUUACCAAGGCAACGAUGCAUAGCCGACCUGAGAGGGGGAUCGGACACACUGGAACUGAGACACGGUACAGACAACUACGGGAGGAAGCAGUAGGGAAUCUUCCGCAAUGGGCGAAAGCCUGACGGAGCAACGCCGCGUGAGUGAUGAAGGUCUUCGGAUCGUAAAACUCUGUUAUUAGGGAAGAACAUAUGUGUAAGUAACUGUGCACAUCUUGACGGUACCUAAUCAGAAAGCCACGGCUAACUACGUG
rnacentral:rRNA from 1 species